UAUCCAAGAUUUUCGCUUAUCCAAUGUUCUAAUUUUAUGUUUAAUAGGAUUUUUUUCUUAAUCCCUCCUUACUAUCCAAGAUUUUCGCUUAUCCAAUGUUCUAAUUUUAUGUUUAAUAGGCUUUUUUCUUAAUCCCUCCUUACUAUCCAAGAUUUUCGCUUAUCCAGUGUUCUAAUUUUAUAUUGUACUAGCUGUGCUCGGCUAUGCGUUGCUGUGGCAAAGUGGUGGUGGUAUUGGUUAAAAGUUGUUGUGGAAUUUUUAUUUGACGUUAUUUGUACUUUUUAAAAUUAAUUUUAUUGUAACUUAUCUUUUUUAUUUAUUAUAUUUUAUUAUUUUGUAGUAUUAUUUUUAGUUAUUUUGUUAUUAUAGUAUUUAAUUUUUUUAGUGUUUUUAUUGUAUUAUUUGUAUUUAUUUUAUUUUUUAUUCUUUUAUUAACACUGGGCUGAGUGGGUUGCUAGGAGACCAAGUGGGCAGAGCUUAGAGCCUUCUAAGUGGCAGCAAUUGGAUAAAAACAAUUAUUUCUCUCCCUCUAAUUAGGACUUUAUUUUUCUUUGCUUUUUGUUGUAUCAACCUAGAGGAGUGGAUGAGGGGUUGUGCUGUCAAAUUUCGAGGUUGGGGGGCCUGUAGUUUUGUUGUUUUGUGGGUCGCAGUGAUGCCAUCACUCUUUUAUAUAUAUAGAUAGGCUUUUUUCUUAAUCCCUCCUUAUUAUCCAAGAUUUUUGCUUAUCCAAUGUUCUGCCGGCCUGUUUAUCUUGGAUAAGUGAGACUCUGCUGUAUUCCUCUUCUUUCUUAUUUCCUGCUUUUUCACAUAUUUUAUGUAUUUUUACAGUCAACUCUUUACUUAUACUCUGGAUUCUUGUGUGUUGCUGUGGUCCUAGGUGGCAUCAGGCCUGGAGGGCAACCUAGAACUUGACAUUGUCUAUCAACAAUCCCAUUGGCCAUGAUAGAUCAGUGGUCCAAAAUCAUGAUUUCCCAAGCUCGAGCCAUCUGUUCCUUGAAACACUCUCCUACGACUCCGGAUACCAAUUACAAAUAUUGGCUGGACAAUUUGGAAAUAAUUGGAGGUGGAGGAGGAUUUUCCUAAGCAUUAUUGUGAACAUUUCUGGAACACGAUGGCCACUUCAUCCUGAUGUUAGAAACAUGGCUGGGUGUGAUACACCAUAUGCCCAAGCUCUAAACCUCGCCAUCUGUAAAGAUAAUGAACUGAGUGAUGGCAAGAGAUGAAUGGCAGAAGCUGGCAUUGUAGGACUUUAUGGAAGACCAAGGGCCAUGGCAAUUUACAGUCCAAUCCUACAGAAACCUGGCACCUCCUGGACAGAGCACUAAAUAUCCCACCACGAUGCACAGUCUCCUCGGGAAGGCAUGUCACGUCCUUCGACUGAUGGGGCCUCGUAAGCAUCUCUGUGCAUGAUAAGGGAGUUGUCAUGCCAGCCAGCUGCUAUGGCUGGUUGACUGCUCAAUCGCCCAAUCCUGAUGGACAGUUCUGAAUUUGAGCUGCAUCCAGGGCCAGCUUGAGGCAGGGGACAAUAUGGCACGUUGCCAGAGGUUACCUUUUGGUCUACAGUUUCCUGGGGAUUUGGGGAGCUGUAGCCCAGAAAAGGAACAUUUUCCUGCUUUGCUAACUUCAUAUCCAGAAGCUAGCCAAGGAUGCACUUGUGUCUCCUCUGACAUGGACAAUGAGGCAACAUCCUGAGCUAUUUCCAGUUAAAAUAAUUUGAAUAUUUAUUUAUUUAUUUAUUUAUUUAUUUAUUUAUUUACAACAGUUAUAGCCUGCACUUCUCGCCCGAGGGGACUCAGGGCAGCUUACAAAAAUAUUGGGUUGCUGUGAGUUUCCCAGGCUGCAUGGCCAAGUUCCAGAAGCAUUUUUCUCUCCUGACAUUUCACCCGCAUCUAUGGCAGGCAUCCUCAGAGGUUGUAGGGUCUGUUGGAAACUAGGCAAGUGGGGUUUAUAUAUCAGUGGAAGGUCCAGGGUGUGAGAAAGAACUUUUAUCUGUUGGAGGCAAGUGUGAAUGUUGCAACAGGCCCUGAUUGUGGGAGGUCCAGGGCGGGAGAAAAGGACUCUUGUCUGUUGGAGGCAAGUGUGAAUCUUGCAACUGGCCACAUUGAAUGGCCCUUCAGCUUCAAAGCCUGGCUGCUUCCUGCCUGGAGGGAUUCUUUGUUGGGAGGUGUCAGCUGGCCCUGAUUGUGGGAGGUCCAAGGUGGGAGAAAGGGACUCUUUUCUGUUGGAGGCAAGUGUGAAUGUUGCAGCAGGCCACAUUGAAUGGCCCUUCAGCUUCAAAGCCUGGCUGCUUCCUGCCUGGAGGGAUCUUUUGUUGGGAGAAGUUAGCUGGCCUUGAUUGUGGGAGGUCCAGGGUGGGAGAAAAGGACUCUUGUCUGUUUGAGGCAAGUGUGAAUGUUGCAGCAGGCCACAUUGAAUGGCCCUUCAGCUUCAAAGCCUGGCUGCUUCCUGCCUGGAGGGAUCUUUUGUUGGGAGAAGUUAGCUGGCCUUGAUUGUGGGAGGUCCAGGGUGGGAGAAAAGGACUCUUGUCUGUUUGAGGCAAGUGUGAAUGUUGCAGCAGGCCACAUUGAAUGGCCCUUCAGCUUCAAAGCCUGGCUGCUUCCUGCCUGGAGGGAUCUUUUUGUUGGGAGAAGUUAGCUGGCCCUGAUUGUGGGAGGUCCAGGGUGGGAGAAAAGGACUCUUGUCUGUUUGAGGCAAGUGUGAAUGCAAGUGUGAAGCUUGAUUAGCACUGAAAGGCUCGGCAGACUAAUUCAGCCAGAUAACUCAGCCAUAGCAGAGCACCUGAUGAACCAACCUGUAUACAGCAUAUUAUCUGAGAACGCAGAAAUGCUGGGCCACUCUCACAACCACCAUGUCACACUAUACAGAGAAGCCUUUGAAAUACGCAAGCAUGUGGAGAAUUUCAACUGAAAGGAGAAAACCAUGAAAAUGGACAAAAUCUGGGGGAAUCCUUUGUUGGGAGGUGUUAGCUGGCCUUGAUUCUUUCUUGUCUGGAAUUCCUGUGUUUUUUAAAUGUUGUUCCUUAUUUCCUGUCCUAAUUCUGUCCUGAUUUUAGCCAGAUUUUGUUCGUUUUCAUGGUUUCCUCAUGAAUACCAUUUUCCUGCUUCUUGAAAGGUGGUUGGAUUGGAUCAGUGGUUCCCAAAGUUAUUUGGCCUGCCGCCCCCUUUCCAGAAAAAAUAUGACUCAGCACACCCUGGAAAGAGGGGAGUGGCUUAGAGGGGUGGGCGUGGCUCCUGCUCAAGAGGGCGGGACUGAGCCUCUCCCCUAGACCCAGAUUCAGUGCUGGGAGGGGGAGGGGGAGGUGGGCGGGGCCACAAAUGGGCGGCCAGGACUGGAAUGGGCGGAGUUACGAGUUCUGAGGCAGGGCUGAGCUUCUAUCCCUGUCUUGCGGUGCCUGCCAGGACACAGGGGGCAGGGCUAGAGGAGGGGGCGGGCCUCUUCCCAAGUGCCUGAUGGGGCUGAACCUCUAUACCCCACCCCUGUGUUCUAACAAGAGCCUCAGGAGAGGUAUAGAGGCUCAGCCCUGUCUCAUGCUCUUGGAAAGAGGCCACGCCCCCACCCCUAGCACCGCCCUUUAGUCCUAAAAGGCCUCUCAGGAGAGGUAUAGAGGCUCAGCCCUGUCUCAGGCUCUUGGAAGGAGGCCCCGCCCCCUUCCCUAGCUCCACCCUCUGUGUCCCAACAAGCGCCUCAGGAGAGGUAUAGAUGCUCAGCCCUGUCUCGGGCUGUUGGGAAGAAGCCACGCCCACUCCUCUAGCUCCACCCCCUGUGUCCUAACAGGUGCCUCAGGUGCUCAGCCCUGUCUCCGGCACUUGGGAAGAGGCCCCGCCCUUCCCCUGGCCCCGCCCCCGUAUCCUAAUAGGUGCCAUCACCGCCCCCCUGGAUCUCUGCAGCACCCACUAGGGGGCAGUAGUGCCCACUUUGGGAAUCACUGGACUGGAUGGCCCACGAGGUCUCUUCCAACUCUAUGAUUCUAUCAGUUGGAAGGGCUUGGGCUGUGUCUUCCUGCAUAGCAGAGGGUUGUACAGGAUGGUCCUGGGGGUCUCUUCCAAAUCUAGGAUUCUGUAACCACGUUUCUGAUAUGGGAGCCACCAUCCAUCAUAGAAGAGUGGCAUCAUGCUUCUCCUGCCCUGAUCUAGUUGGGGGCAAACUCCUUCACUCGCUUGCAUCCUGGUUCACUAUAUCUUGGUCCAAGAACUCCAUUGUAUCUUGUGUAGACAAAUUUAGCUCACACCAGCUGGUACAGUAUGUGAAUCCCCUAGAACCGCAUCCAAAGCAACCAAUGAGCCAAAUGCACAAGGCUGUUAAUAAUCAGAUCAUAAGCAUAAGUCACACAGUUCAUCAACGUGAAGCGACACGAGAUAAAACCAUCUUUCUCUGGUGCUCUCGAGUUCUCUCCGCAACAUGCUUUUUCUUUCGGAUACAUGUUCACAUUCCAAACAACCAAAAGAUAUAUAUAUAUAUAAAUAUAUAAAAUUCAGCAAGAGACAGAGGCAAUGUCAGAAACCAACAUGAGAUGAGAUGGUCGAGGCGGAUGGCAGGAGAGAGAACGAGAGACUGAGAGUGAUGAUGAAAAGAGAGAAAAAGAGAAAGAGAGAUGGAAGCAGGUUUCGGAGGAGGAGGAGAAGAACUUUGAAACUCAUUUGUUGAAAGAAACAUAAAACCAUACCUUGGCUGUUUAGCGUCAGGUGAGCCGGACCUUGAAGGGGAAGGAAAGGAAAAAAGAAAGAAAGAAAAAAGACGAGUCAUAUAAACGCACGGAAAAAAGGAGGGUUUUCCCCUCUAUGCCACAAUUUAAAAGCUUUUUUUAACUUGUGACAGACAUCCGGGUCCCCCAGCAGAUAGAGAGGGGAAGGGAGUUGAGGGUCGGAUGCCGAAACAAACAGAAAGGAGAGGAGAAGAAACUGAAAAUCCCGGACAGAGCCAGACAGAACCAAAACAAGAACAAGAGAGGGGAACAGGCUAGAACAGAAAAACAAAUUAAAGUUGGGUUUCUUUUACGGUUUAAAAAAAAAAAAGCAUUUUGGGCAAAUGGCCACAUUGCCCAGUGGGAGAAAAUGCUUUUUUUUUCAGGAGAAAAACAACAAAAAUGGGUGGGGGGUGGGUGGGAGAGAACUACACAAACCAAGCAGCCUUGAGGGGCGAGUGUUGUGUUUGCAGCCGUGAGCGAAAACAGCUCCAGGAAGGAAGAUUGUUAGUGGUGCGAAAAAAUGGUUUGCAGGACUCUCCUGGUGGAAUACUUUUUGGGAAGGUGUCAGUGUAGUAGGCCAGGGAGGGAGAGCCCAGCUGUCCAUGGGACCGGAGGAACAUUUCCACCCUUCCCAUCAAACCAACCAACAUCUCUCACCCACGAACCAGCAAUGAUAAUACAUUCUGGAUGAACACCAUGUUAUAUCCCUUUACCACAGAAAUAUUGUGUAAGCCCCAAAAACUGACCUACCACCACCUUGGAUGGGGGAUUGUACAGCCAGAGCCAUCGGGUAGGAGACUUGGGAUCAAUAAGAACGCGGAAAUUUGGUGUGCCCAAAGCCAGUUUCUCAGUCCAUCAAUUUCAGUGCUGUGACAGAGGUCUCCCAUGGGCUUUAUUGUGAAAUUCCAAGACCUUUUGCAUGCUAGACAUUUGUAACUGCCACUCAACUAGAACUUUACUCCCACCCAUAAAAAAGCUGGUUUGAAUUGGAGCAGAGAAACUGGCAGUCGGGUUCUCCACGGUAUCAGGUAAGCCAAACCUAGAGAUGUCAGGCAUCAAACCUGGGAACUUGUAUAUGCAAAGCAGAUAUUCUGGACUGAGAUGCAUCUCCUAAUUUAUAGCAGCACAUUAACAUGCUUUAUUUGACCUGUUCGGCAGUAAUGGUGUAAGUGCCAUUGAUCACAUGUAAGUGCAAUUGACCACAUCCCUUUAUUGUGCACCACCACUACCAGUUUGAAGCCCAGGAGAACAAUUCCCAAAUAGAAAAUGACAUUGACCCUCCCUGUUGAAAAAUGGCCUCUCAUGAACCUGAAAUGACCUAGAAGGUGCUCAAAAUAUAGCCCAAUUCACCACCAAUUCCACUACGUUAUGUUGUAGGCAAGCGUCAACCUGAAUGUGGCCUCCAACCACCAAUCCUUGACCACUUUGAUCUUUCCUAGCUCUUCUUGGAGCUCUGUGAUCUUGGCCUCGGGAUCUCAUGAUUGCUCUACAAUGGAGCUAGGUCUAACUCCCCAUUUCCCAAAUAGAAAAUGACAUUGACUCUCCCUAUUGACAAAUGGUUUCUCUUGGACCUAAAAUGACCUAGAAGGUGCUCAAAAUAUAGCCCAAUUCACCACCAAGUCCACUAUGUUAUGUUGUAGGCAAGCGUCAACCUGAAUGUGGUCUCCAACCACCAAUCCUUGACCACUUUGAUCUUUCCUAGCUCUUCUUGGAGCUCUCUGAAGUGAAACCUGGGAUCUUGGCCUCAAAAUAUAGCCCAAUUCACCACCAAGUCCACUAUGUUAUGUUGGAAGCAAGCGUCAAUCUGAAUGUGGCCUCCAACCACCAAUCCUUGACCACUUUGAUGUUUCCUAACUCUUCUUGGAGCUGUGUGAUCUUGGCCUCGGGAUCUCAUGAUUGCUCUACAAUGGAGCUAGGUCCAACUCCCCACUACCCAAAUAGAAAAUGACAUUGACCCUCCCUAUUGACAAAUGGCCUUUCAUGGGCCUAAAAUGACCUAGAAGGUGCUCAAAAUAUAGCCCAAUUCACCACCAUGUUAUGUUGGAGGCAAGCGUCAACCUGAAUGUGGCCUCCAACCACCAAUCCUUGACCACUUUGAUCUUUCCUAGCUCUUCUUGGAGCUCUCUGAAGUGAAACCUGGAAUCUUGACCUCAAAAUAUAGCCCAAUUCACCACCAUGUCCACUAUGUUGGAGGCAAGCAUCAACCUGAAUGUGGCCUCCAACCACCAAUCCUUGAGCACUUUGAUCUUUCCUAGCUCUUCUUGGAGUUCUCUGAAGUGAAACCUGGGAUCUUGGCCUCAAAAUAUAGCCCAAUUCACCACCAUGUCCACUAUGUUAUGUUGGAAGUGAGCAUCAACCUGAAUGUGGCCUCCAACCACCAAUCCUUGACCACUUUGAUCUUUCCUAGCUCUUCUUGGAGCUCUGUGAUCUUGGCCUCGGGAUCUCAUGAUUGUUCUACAAUGGAGCUAGGUCUAAUUCCCCACUUCCCUAAAAGAAAAGAAAAAGAUCCCCAUACUCAUCAAUCCGAACAAAGAGUAGACAUUUUGCAAGCAAAGUACAUACUACAUCCUUUGGCUACCACAAAAUAGAUGAGCACGUCUUGAGUGGUUGCGUCAUGCUAAUGUUCAUCUUCCUCUAUUAUUCUGCAUUAGUCACAAGACAACAUCAGAUCACAAACACAUUUUGCAUCACUUAAUUCCAUGCUCACCUCCUCCAUUCCUAUUCUUGAACGAUUCGAAUACAUUAGAAUUCUUACUUUAUUGCCAUGGGGAACCCAUUACUUGAAAAUGCGGGAUAUGAAUUUAAUCAGUAAAUAAAGUAAAUAAAUAAGCAUGCGUUGACACGCUAUGGAUGUUUCUCAAAUACAAGACAGACAGCGAGGUUAACACUGGCCACUCAUCUGGUCACCUGUGGUGAGUAAGCCUUCGCCUCCGGGCGAAUGUCUUCCAGUGACUAAUACUGAUAUAUGCGCAGAAGGACACAUAUUAUCGUGAGCUGGUAAUUUCUGAAGAUUUCUUUGCAAGACUAGACUGAAGGUUGCUAAAGGGCAAACAGUUAUGGUCAGACUUUGUCUAGCAAUCUCAUUUUGUUCACUGGCAUUGAUACAGCAAAGUGCCGAGUUCGAUUUGCACCAGUCUGCGCACCCAUGCCCAGGAACUCGUUAUUUCAGGCCCAUUGGUUGUGGGUUCAAUGGUUGCGUUAUACUCUGUUAUCAUGUUAAUUUUAUUCUGUUUUAUGUAUCACAGUGUGUUAUUUUAAUUACCGUAUAUACUCGAGUAUAAGCCGACCCGAAUAUAAGCCAAGGCACCUAAUUUGACCACAAAAAACAGGGAUAACUUGUUGACUCGAGUAUAAGCCAAAGGUGGGAAAUGCAGCAGCUAAUAAUACAUUUCAAAAUAAAAAUAGAUACCAAUAAAAUUACAUUACCGUAUAUACUCGAGUAUAAGCCGAGACAGCUAAUUUUACCACAAAAAAACUGGGAUAACUUAUUGACUCGAGUAUAAGCCAAAGGUGGGAAAUGCAACAGCUAAUAAUAAAUUUCAAAAUAAAAAUAGAUACCAAUAAAAUUACAUUACUGUAUAUACUCGAGUAUAAGCCGACCCGAAUAUAAGCUGAGGCACCUAAUUUGACCACAAAAAACUGAGAUAACUUAUUGACUUGAGUGUAAGCCAAAGGUGGGAAAUGCAGCUGCUAAUAAUAAAUUUCAAAAUAAAAAUAGAUACCAAUAAAAUUACAUUAAUUGAAGCAUCAGUAGGUUAAAUGUUUUUGAAUAUUUAACGUAUUUCAAAUAAAAACAAUAAACUAGCUCUGUAAGUGGAAACGUAAGAUCAACAAAAACAAUAUGGUAUCAACAAUAAUUUUAUACUACUACUACUACUACUAAUAAUAAUAAUAAUAAUAAUAAUUCAUUUGUAUCCCACCCUAUCUCCCAUGGGGACUCAGGCCGGCUUCCAACAUAGUAACAGGCAAACAUUCAAUGCCUAUAUAAACAAUGCAGAGCUAGAUAUACAUCUAUAAUUAUAUAUACAGUAGAGUCUCACUUAUCCAACACUAGCUUAUCCAACGUUCUGGAUUAUCCAACGCAUUUUUGUAGUCAAUGUUUUCAAUACAUCGUGAUAUUUUGGUGCUAAAUUUGUAAAUACAGUAAUUACUACAUAGUAUUACUGCAUAUUGAACUACUUUUUCUUUCAAAUUUGUUGUAUAACAUGAUGUUUUGGUGCUUAAUUUGUAAAAUCAUAACCUAAUGUGAUGUUCAAUAGGCUUUUCCUUAAUCCCUCCUUAUUAUCCAACAUAUUCACUUAUCCAGCAUUCUGCUGGCCCGUUUAUGUUGGAUAAGUGAGACUACUGUAAUUCAUUUGUAUCCCACCCUAUCUCCCAUGGGGACUCAGGCCGGCUUCCAACAUAGUAACAGGCAAACAUUCAAUGCCUAUAUAAACAAUGCAGAGCUAGAUAUACAUCUAUAAUUAUAUAUACUAAUUUCACAUAUGCAUUUAAUGAUUUAAUCAGAGUUGAACAGUCAUAUCUUAAAUUACAGUUUGAUGUAAAGAUUCAAAAACAUGUAAACUACUGAUUCCUCAAUUAAUGUAAUUUUAUUGGUAUCUCGGCUUAUACUGGAGUCAAUGUUUUCCCAGUUUUUUUUCUGGUAAAAUUAGGUGCCUCGGCUUAUAUUCGGGUCGGCUUAUACUCGAGUAUAUAUGGUAUUAUAUAUUAUUAUAUUGUUAUAGUGACACAGGAGACAUGGUGGAAUGAUGUCUUCCUGUCUGCUUCUUCAUUCUGGCUCAGAGCUCCUUUGACGCAUCAGGAAUUGGUCUUUGGAGUGUUUUCAAAGCCGGAGGUCCCAUGUUAAAGUCUUCCUGAUUUCCAUGUCUGCUAAGACCACCUACCCAUUCAUUACCUCCCAGUACAGUCUUGAUAUAUAAAACAGGAUCCCGAGGACUAGGAGGAGGAUAAGCAAUAUGGGGCCACAUACUUCGCUCCUGCUUCUUAAAGGGUGCAGUUGAUAUCAGAUCAAAAUGCCAUUACUAUUCCUUUUGCACCAGCCCUUCUGUCACCAUUCAUCAUCGCGUCAGCUUUCGACCUGGCACUGGCAGCUGUUUCCGAAAAAGGACCCAAUUUCAUGCAAAUGAGGGCUUUGCACUCCCUUCUUGAAUGUGCAAACACACAUGCUCUCUCUAUCACACACUCACACACACACCCACAGCAAUCAAUCUGUCAAGUGGCCACAGCUUAUGCGCCCAUUCCAUACUCACUGGUGCAAAGCACACAGACUGAUAGAAUGCCUGAUGUUCUCCCAAAAAGAAAGAAUACAGUGUUCCCUCACUUAUCGAUGGGUUUAGGUUCCAGGUUCAAAUCCAGAGAGCGGAGUGAGCGCCUGCUGUUAAGCUCCAGCUUCUGCCAACCUAGUCGAAAACAUGCCAACGUGAGUAGAUCAAUAGGUACCGCUCCGGUGGGAAGGUAAUGGCACUCCAUGCAAUCAUGCCAAUGGCCACAUGACCUUGGAGGUGUCUACGGACAAUGCCAACUCUUCGGCUUAGAAAUGGAGAUGAGCACCAACCCCCAGAGUCGGACACGACUGGACUUAACGUCAGGGGAAACCUUUACCUUUUUACCUUACAUUAUUUUAAAAAUAAAUAUAGUGUCCCUACUUCGCGGAUUGUCACUUAUUGCGGAAAAUAUAUUUUAAUACUGUAUUUAUACAUUAUUUUAAGGGGCCCCUGGUGGCACAGUGCGUUAAAGCGCUGAGCUGCUGAACUUGCAAACUGAAAGGUCCCAGGUUCAAAUCCGGGGAGUGGAGUGAGCAUCCGCUGUUAAGCUCCAGCUUCUGCCAACCUAGCAGUUCGAAAACAUGCCAAUGUGAGUAGAUCAAUAGGUACCGCUCCAGCGGGAAGAUAACGGCGUUCCAUGCAGUCAUGUCAGCCACAUGACCUUGGAGGUGUCUACGGACAACGCCGGCUCUUUGGCUUAGAAAUGGAGAUGAGCACCAACCCCCAGAGUCAGACACGACUGGACUUAACGUCAGGGGAAACCUUUACCUUUACCUUAUACAUGGAAAAGUUGGAAGGAGCUAGCCAUGUUCUGCUCCAUGAAGAGGACUGAGAAGGGACAUGGGAUCAUUCUUUAAAUAGCUCAUAGGCUGUCACAGAGGGUAGCACCAGGCUUGUAGUUAUAGGAGAGUAGAUUUUGAUUGAACAUUUGAAGGAACUUUUUGACAGUAGGUGUGGUUCAGCAGUGGAACCAAUUUCCUAAGGAGGUGAACUUUUUCAAAAGACCUUGGACAGUUCCCUGUUGUGGAUACUUUGGCUGGAAAUCCUGCCUUGAGCAAGGAGGCUGCACUCGCGCCCAUGAGCUCUGUUACAACUCUGUCAUUCUGAGAUUUUAAGCUGUCUUACACUGCAGUGGACCACUUGCCUGUCUUGCUCAGUAUUCUGUGCAUCGGCCAGCAGUGAUUCUCCAGAGUUUCUUGACAGAAAUCUUUCUCAGCCCAGCCUUUCUCAGCGUCUGCAUGCAAAGGAGUUGCCCUCCCACUGAGUUGCAACCUGUUUGCAGCCAUUCCUGCGCUUCUUUCUUCCGCAAUCAGAUAGGGGGUAAUGGGACUGUAGGACAACCAAGAUCUCUAUAAAUCUCAAUUGAAUCAGUGAGGUCUUAUGCUCGACAGCAUCCGGCUCACCCAGUUCUUGCCAGGUGGAGCCUGCACCUGCCUUAGGAUCCUAUAUCUUCCUGGAAUUUCAUUUCGCUGCUCCCAAUCUGCUUUUCGAUGAGGAGUUCAUCCAGGAAUGCAUAUAGAUAAAUCCCCGGUGACUUGCAGUGUUUUUAUGCUAUACAGUUCUGUGGAACUACCGUAUAUACUCGAAGAUAAGCCGAGUUUUUCAGCCCUUUUUAUUUUAGCUGAAAAAGCCUCCCUUGGCUUAUAAUGGGGUCAAGAUCAACAGAACCUGGAGGACAUUGCUUGCAAUAUAUGAUAUAUAUGUAUCUCUCUUAUCCUCCCUUAGCAGUGUUUAGUUUUCCAAAGCCUCCCUCGCUCUUAACCAAGGGAAUGUUUUGAAAAGGUAGAGAAGCCCUUGCAAGUCAGGAAGAAGAAAAUAUAUAUCCAUUAAUCUUAUAAAAGCAUUUUCCCCUGAAAUAUUGGUUAAACUCUCCUACAGAUAGGCAUUAACCCCCCUGCAUGCAUUUGCAAUCCCUAUGUAUUUAUAUACCUGUAUCUAUCUAGCUAUAUACAUUAAUUUUAUAUAUGAAUUUUCCCCUCAUAUCUUUGCAGGUCUUUGCAAAUCCUAUAUACAUAUAGAUCCAUGUAUCUGUAUAUCUGUAUCUGUAUAUAUACAUUAUUUAACCCACUGAUGCCUUGAUUAAUGUAAUUUUAUUGGUAUCUAUUUUUAUUUUGAAAUUGACGAGUAGCUGCUUCAUUUCCCACCCUCGGCUUAUACUCGAGAAUAUACGGUAAGUAUUUUGGCUUUAUCUUACAGAACCCUCACAUUUGUAGUUUGGUGAGCAGCUUAAAGUUUUACAUAGAUGAGCAUUAGAGCUCCCUAGUAAAGAAUUCGUGACCAAACUACAAAUCCAAAGCUUCCUUAGAUUUAUGCAUUGGCAGUGAAAAUAGUAUGAAACUGUUGUAACUGUCUAGUGUAGGUGUACUCUAAGGAGCCCCAAAUAGAUGACUUGUGAGUAGAUUCUAGUAGUGGGUGGCAUGUGUAAAAAUUUGCUAGCAUAGUGAUGGGCUUUUGAGAAGGAGAUGCUGGAAAUGGUGCGUGUAUGGUACGAGGGUUAUCCAGAAAGUAGAUUACGUUUUGGAAUUAAAAAUGAACAAAGUAUAGGAGAAAACAUUUACCAUAUGCAGUUGAAAGCCAUACCCAAAUACCACUUCUCAACAUAGUCCCCAUUGAAAUCUAGGCACUUAUCAUAGCGAUGAAGGAGCUUGGCAACUCCUUCCCAACAAAACUCUGCUGCUUGCGCCCUCAAAAAGUAUAGGAGAAAACAUUUACCAUAUGCAGUUGAAAGCCACACCCAAAUACCACUUCUCAACAUAGUCGCCAUUCAAAUCUAGGCACUUAUCAUAGCGAAGAAUGAGCCUGGCAACUCCUUCCCCACAAAACUCUGCCGCUUGCGUCCUCAACCAGCCGGUCACCCCUUUUCGCAGUUGCGCAGCGUCGCCAAAACGCUGCAUUGUCAGCCACCCUCCCCAUUGUUGGAAUGAGGAUGAAGAAACAACUCCCACCCAAAGACUCCAAAAGAUCCCCACACGGAGGGUCGCACACGUGAAGUUCUGGAGUCUUUUGGGUGAGAGUUGUUAGCCCCAGCUUCUACCAACCUAGCAGUUUGAAAACAUGCAAAUGUGAGUAGAUAAAUAGGUACCACUCCGGCGGGAAGGUAAUAAUGCUCCAUGCAGUCAUGCCACUGGCCUCAUGACCUUGGAGGUGUCUAUGGACAACGUCGGCUCUUCGGCUUAGAAAUGGAGAUGAGCACCAACCCCCAGGUCGGACACGACUGGACUUAAUGUCACCGGCAUUUUCCUGGCAUUUCCUUAUGGGUGCCUAAAUACCUCCCAGUAUUUAUCUAUUCACAUUUUUCUUUUGAACCACUAGGUAGGUGAAAGCUGGGCUAAAGGCUAGGAUCUCACCCUGACUCAAGCUUCGAACUGUCAACCUUUCGACUAAUAAACCAACAUUUCAGCUGGUAGUUUAACCUGCUGUGCUAAAGCCUGGCCCCAAAGAUAACUGCUCAAGACUGUGUGGAAGGGGCUGGUCCUGAAGCAUUUCUGGAACUGGUUGUAAUAUGAUUUUAUUUAUUUAUUUACAGCAUUUAUAUUCCGCCCUUCUUUCUCACCCCGAAGGGGACUCAGGGCAGAUCACAUUGCACACAUAAAGGCAAACAUUCAAUGCCAUAACAUAGAACCGAGGCAAAGACAGACACAGGCUCCGAGCUGGCCUCGAACUCAUGACCUCUUGGUCAGAGUGAUUUGUUGCAGCUGGCUGCUAACUAGCCUGCACCACAGCCCGGCCCAAUGCACAGGUAUGCAUGAGAAGUACUACAGUUGAUAAUGAAAGGCAUGGCAGGGGAUUAGACCACACAGCCCAACUCUGCGAUUCUACGAUUCUGCAUGCAAGGCAGCUGCUAUGGAAAGAUGCAUAUUGCAUGCACUUGAAGGUGUGAAAUGAUGAAACGUGAAGGAAGUCACGACAUCAAGAGCAAGUCAAAGUCAAAGCCACAGCGCAAGGCACAGAAUCUUAUCUCGCCGGCACAGAUACUGCCUGUUGUGUUCCCCUACCAAUACCACUUGCUACGCAGGAGAGCUGGAAGGCACAGGACCAGUGAGCAAAGUGUUGGCAGAAGCUGGGGCUAACAGCAGGUGCUCAUUCCUCUCCCUGGAUUUGAACCUGCGACCUUUUGGUCCACAAGUUCAGCCGCUCAGCGCUUUAACACGCUGUGCCACCGCCCGCCACUCUGAAAAUCCCUAGAGGAGACAUAUUUUGUCAGAUGCAGGUAGAUGAAACUGUGGGCACAAGGGUCGUACUGUAGUUGCUUUUUGUUAUAUGUUUGACUCAGUUUUUAUUCCAUGUAAAUGUUACUCAAUAAAAAUGAUUUUUUUUUAGAAGCAAUAAGGAACCAAAGCUCUGUAGCAAGGAUGAAAGGGGCAUUGAUUUCAGAUGAGAGGUAACUGCGAAGGCGGAGGGGCACCAUCAAAGUUAACCCAGCGUGUGCUGAGAAUGCAGAUUCGCAGAGAGGGAAAUCUGUGACAUCAGCAGCUCGGCCUGGCCUCUCCUUUAAAAAUUGCUCUGCCUGUUUGAACAAGAGAGCCGGCCGAUUUCUUGGCGAGAGGAGUCAAGAUGCCACCAAAAAGACAAGGAAGAAAGGAAUGUGUGGAAGAUAAGAGCAGGUGAUGGAGUGCACGGCGCCGGCGCCGGCGGGGGUUUAAUCUCAGGUCUCCUUCUCCAGGCGACGCAGAGGGUAAUUUUUCUUGGAGAUGAAUGCUGUGCUCUGGCAGCCACCGUCUCCACGUGGCACAGAAUCAACAGGAGGAACAGCAGAAAAGGCCAUGAUAAGCCCGACCUCUGGAUCAAGGGGUUGGACAGACAACUGAAUUAACCACUGGGUUCAUUGCAGUGGUUGGAAUGCCUAUUUAAAACUGCUAUGUGCCUGUAAUGCAGCUAAAUGUAUAGAAAGUUGACCUGAAAGGAAUAAUAAUAAUCUAUCUAUAUAAAAGAGUGAUGGCAUCAGGGCAACCCGCAAAACAACAAAACUACAGGCCCCCCAACCUCGAAAUUUGACAACACAACCCAUCAUUAAUGGCUCUAGGUUGAUACAACAAAAAGAAAAGAAAAAUAAAGUCCUAAUUACACGGAGAGAAAUAAUAGUUUUUAUCCAAUUGCUGCCAGUUUGAAGGCUAAGCUCUACCCACUUGGUCUCCUAGCAACCUACUCAGCCCAGGGGACAGGCACAGUUAGGCCUCACUUAGGCCUCUUCCACAGAUUAUCAGAUUUUAACUGGAUUAUAUGGCAGUGUAGACUCAAGGCCCUUCCACACAGCUAUAUAACCCAUUUAUAAUCUUAUAUUAUUUAUUUAUUAUUUAUUUAUUUACAGUAUUUAUAUUCCACCCUUCUCACCCCGAAGGGGACUCAGGGCGGAUUACAAUGAACACAUAUAUGGUAAACAUUCAAUGCCAACAGACAAACAACAUAUAUAGACAGACUCAGAGGCAUUUUUAACAUUUUUUUCCAGCUUCACGAUUCCGGCCACAGGGGGAGCUGUUGCUUCACUGUCCACUAGUGGCUGUACUUCCUCAUUCCUUUCCUCGUGUUUUGCUGGCAGUUUUUUAUGAUGUUGUAAAUUAGUUAAAUUAGCCUCCCGCAUAAAGCGUACCUAAAUUUCCCUAAUUGACAGAUGCAACUGUCUUUCGGGGCUGCAUAGGUCAACAGCAAGGGUUAUUAUCUGCUUUGCACUGGAUUAUCUUGACUCCACACUGCCAUAUAAUCCACUUCAGUGUGCAUACUAAACAUAAAGACAACCACACAACAGACAUUCAAUACCACCACUACCUCAACAAUUUCUCACCAACACCACCAGACAACACCACAGCAACGCGUGGCCGGGCACAGCUAGUGAUUCUAUAUAAAAAUGUCAUGUACAUUUGUAGGACUGAGUAAACAACAAAACCACUGAACCAAAUCACACCAAAUUUGGCCACAAAAGACAGCCAACCAAUCUAUGUCUUUCAAACAAACAAAAAAACCCUGGAAAAUAAAGUCCAAAUUAGAGAAAGAGGAAGAGCUAUUUUCAACCCUGGUUGCUGAUCAGAAGGGUAGGCCCCGCCCCCUUUAGGCCCUGCCCACUUCAUCUCCUAGCAACCCCCUCGGUCACAAUGGCACCAGGGUACAGCCAGAGUUCAGGCUUUUUAGGCUGCAAGGCUAUUCAUUACUAUUCCACUCGGCCAACAAAGCAUUCCCAUAAGCCACAGCAAUGCGUGGCCGGGCACAGUUAAUAAUAAUAAUAAUAAUAAUAAUAAUAAUAAUAAUAAUAAUAAUAAUAAUAGAUCUGUCAACUGCAAAAGGCCACCCUACUGGGAUCUGCGCGCAUCAUCCAAAAAUACAUCACACAGUCCUAGACACUUGGGAAGUGUUCGACUUGUGAUUUUGUGAAACGAAAUACAGCAUAUCUAUCUUGUUUGCUGUGUCAUACAAUAAUAAUAAUAAUAAUAAUAAUAAUAAUAAUAAUAAUAAUAAUAAUAAUAAUAAAAAACAAGAAAAACUCAGCCGCUAUCAGGACCUCAAAAUUGAACUGCAAAGAUUGAACUGCGGGCCCGGGCUGUGGCGCAGGCAGGAGAGCAAGCCAGCUGCAACCAGCUGCAAUGAAUCACUCUGACCAGGAGGUCAUGAGUUCGAGGCCCGCUCGGAGCCUAUGUUUGUCUUGUCUUUGUUCUAUGUUAAAGGCAUUGAAUGUUUGCCUAUAUGUGUAAUGUGGUCUGCCCUGAGUCCCCUUCGGAGUGAGAAGGGCAGAAUAUAAAUGCUGUAAAUAAAUAAAUAAUAAAUAAAGACUUUGGUAGAAACCAGUACAGGUGGUCCUGGUGGUGAUGGGCACAUUGGGUGCCGUGUCAAAAGAUCUCAGCCAGCAUUUGGAAACAAUAGACAUUGACAAAAUUACAAUCUGCCAACUGCAAAAGGCCACCCGACUGAAAUCUGCGCGCAUCAUCCGAAAAUACAUCACAGAGUCCUAAACGCUUGGGAAGUGUUCGACUUGUGAUUUUGUGAUACAAAAUCCAGCAUAUCUAUCUUGUUUGCUGUGUCAUACAAUGUCGUUGUGUCAAUAAUAAUAAUAAUAAUAAUAAUAAUAAUAAUAAUAAUAGGAAGUGUCCGAGGUGUGAUCCAAUACAACAGCCAGCAGAGUGUCUGUUGUGGACUCAUCUUGUUGGGAUGCCUUAGCAUUGAACGGUUGUGUUGUUAAAGUGCGCAGUAUGGAACCCUGCGCAGACGGGGAAGCCUUAGCAUUGAACAGUUGUGUUGUUAAAGUGUGAAGUAGGGAACCCAGCAUAUCUAUCUUGUUUGCUGUGUCAUACAAUGUCGUUGUGUCAUUAAUAAUAAUAAUAAUAAUAAUAAUAAUAAUAAUAAUAAUAAUAAAACUUUACUUCUAGACUGCCCUCUAUUCCCAGAGGGACUCAGGGUGGUUAACAUACAUAUAAACGGCAAACUUUCAAUGCCACGACUACUUCACUAAUAUCAAAAGUAUAAAAUGACAAUAACAUACACGUUUUCAUAAAAAUCCCACAUUAAAAAAAUAUAUAUAUUUAAACAGUCAGUAAAAAUAUUAUUGCACAGAGCGAGUGUAUACCUGGACCGAUUUAAGUGACCAAGUUGCUGAAAAUGUUCAGUCACUUGGACCAUAGCUGCUAUGGAGUGGGACUGAGAGUAGGGCCUCCUCCGCUGACCGAAGUGCCCGAGAUGGUCGAUACAGGGAGAUGCGAUUUGACAAAUAGCCUGGACCUGAGCUGUUUAGGGCUUUAUAGGUAACAACCAGCUCUUUGUAUUUAGCUCAGAAACAGACCGGCAGCCAGUGGAGCUGCUGCAGCAUGGGAGUGGUUCUCUCCCUGUUAGUACCUGGCUGCCGAUCGCUGAACUAGCUGUAGUUUCCAAACUAUCUUCAAAGGAAUCGUUUUAAAAAUAAAAUGAUGUGGGUGGGGGAAAGGAAUCGAAUGAAGGCGGGGAGAGAGAGAGAGAGAGAAGCUUCAGGAGGCUUUUCCUUUGAAUGAUCUUGAACCUUGCAACCAUCCUGACGGUAACUCUUCUUUCCUCCUGGCACGGCUGGCUGAGCGUAUGUCAGGCGUAAUUGCCAGCUGCACUCGUUGGGGGGUAAUUUAGCUCAAGCAGCAACUGCAUCUUUACACCGUGGGGUUGUAUUGUGAUGCAGGCUUUUGUUUCUGAUUUCUCCAGCAGUUUGCUGCCAGGAAAAGAGGUGGGCAGCAGCAGAGAUGGAAGAGAGAAGUGUCUGCUUUGGUUCAUAGUGGAUUCCUCUUCUCUGAAAGCCCGAAUGCUGCUUUGGAAAUCUUCAAACAUGUGUGCAUACUGUUAAUGUGGGAUUUGUGUUUAUAGUGUUUAAAUGCAAUUUGUGCCAUGCUUGUAUUGCAACUGAUUGCAUCAUCCAGAAUGUACCAUAGUGUGGAAAGAGUUAAUUGCCAAGAAGCUAUGAUGAACUUGAUGUGUGGCUGGAACUAGGGAGUAUCCAGACACAAGUGUUUGUGCAUAACGAUUGCAUCAGUUCAGUUCAAUUCAGUUGAGUUCUGUCUGCCUAGAGUUCGAGUCAAGUUCUGUUGGAGAACAGAACAGUCCUGUGUUCAUCUGUCGUCUGCAAGUCUGUUUGUGUUGAAUACUGCUGCAUACAGUAAAACUUUGUAAAUAGUUUUA